UGGGGAAUCUUGCACAAUGGGCGGAAGCCUGAUGCAGCGACGCCGCGUGCGGGACGAAGGCCUUCGGGCUGUAAACCGCUUUCAGCAGGGACGAGGCGAAAGUGACGGUACCUGCAGAAGAAGCCCCGGCUAACUACGUGCCAGCAGCCGCGGUAAUACGUAGGGGGCAAGCGUUAUCCGGAUUCAUUGGGCGUAAAGCGCGCGUAGGCGGCCAGCCUGGUCGGGAGUCAAAUCCGGGGGCUCAACCCCCGUCCGCUCCCGAUACCGGCCGGCUUGAGUCUGGCAGGGGAAGGCGGAAUUCCCGGUGUAGCGGUGGAAUGCGCAGAUAUCGGGAAGAACACCGGUGGCGAAGGCGGCCUUCUGGGCCACGACUGACGCUGAGGCGCGAAAGCUAGGGGAGCGAACAGGA
rnacentral:rRNA from 1 species